CCCCUCCUCGGCUGCCCGGGGGAACGCCAGCCCCCAGCCGGUGUAGCAUCCUCAGGAAGCGCAGGGUUUGGAGCUGUCAGCUGCUGCAACGUCCCGCUGACGUUUGCCCUCCGCGCUGAGUCUCUGUAGUUAUCUCUGCUGCCAGUUGUACUAGUUCCUGGGACUUUCUCCACAAUCUUGAAAGGAGGUCAGAGCUUGUAACUUUUGAGCCCAGUGACAAGGGUGCCUUGCUCUUGCAAACAGGGUUAAGUCAACGCAGAAAAGGCUUGUUCACCUUGUGCAGCUCCUUUCUGGGAUCCCAGUGACAAAACUGUGGCGGUCUUAUUUCUGUCAAAACCAGUUCUCGCGUCCAUCCUGUAGGAAGGUACAUUGUAGUAAUGUGUGUGCCAGAGCCUGCCACGGACUACAUUAGCUGCCUUCUGUCACUGUCUUCUAUUUUUUUCCUAAUUGGCUGAUCUCUUUAACUGUAUACCUUUUGCUGCCACGGAUUUGGUGUACUGUGGUGCUGUCUACCACUCUAAAGCCUCCUGAAAGCUUCAUUUUGAUCCCUUGUAAUUAUGUGAUCCAGAAGUCAGCAUAGCUAGUAUUUCCUCCUAGUUUUCUGUCAUCCCUCCUGUUCGUGCUUCCAGCUUAAGUUGUUCCAGAGUCCUGGACUUUCUUGCCCUCUAUGCACAGAGGAAAGGAAAGAGGAAUUGUGUCUGUGGACGUGGAAACUUUUUUUUUUUAAAUGGGUAUUUUACAAUGUGGUACUGUAUUAAAACAAAUGUUAUGAAGAUGUCUUGUAAGAUAGUAAAGAACAGAAAUCAAAGCUGUAGUAUCUAUUGAUCGUGCCUUAAUGAGGUGGACAAGAUUUUUAUACAGCAUGCCAAUAUUGAUCUGUGCUUUGUCUUGGACGCGACUGCUGUGGAAGAGGGCCAAGGAGGAUGCCAAGGACUGCAUCUGAUUCUUGACAGCCAGGAACCUGACCAAAACUCUGGCAAAGAGACAAGAGUGCUUUUCUCCCACAAACUCCCAUUUGUGGUGUCAGUCUGUCUUCCAUUCCUAGAAAUCUGCGGGUGCUGUGGAGGUGCUAGGAAACCUGAGGUUGCUAGACCAACAUGGCUCCUCCUGAUAACUGCUCAGUGCCUGACAAAGUGAAAAGAACAAAAGUGAACGUUUUUGACUUUGUGGAAACCUCUUAAACACAUGCAUUCAUAGUGCAGGCAUGGAGGGGUUGCUCAAAGGUGGAAAGCAAAAAAAAAAGCAGAGGAGCCAAAAUGGAGGGCUUUUCUUCGGCCAAAGAGAUGGCAGAGAACAGGCUCUCUCCAUCCAGGAAGCUAAAGAGAUCUUCGAAACAGCAUAUCAAGUCUUGCAGGACUUGACCCAGGAAACUGCACAACUGGCUGGGGCUGUGACUUCAGAAAUGCUGAGUGGCAUUGGAAGGCGUGAUCCGUGAAAGCUGCUAUUUUACCUACAGAUACUUCUCUUGAUGUCUUGCUAUGUCAUAUGAGCUAUAAGCUUCAUCGGCCCUGGAGUAAACUUUGGAGGCAGUCUGCCACUGGAACACUCUUCAGGAGCACCUUUGCAUGGCAGUGAAAGCAGCAGUAUGAGGGAACAGUGUGGCGAGCUGAUGUGAGUGAGCCUCUGCUGUUUGAGGCCCCCGGCCCUCCUGCCUGGACACGUGAGGAAAGCUUUCAAGGAGUUCCUGAGUGCCUUAGUACUUGUUACAGCACCGUGCCUGCUCACACUUCUGAAGUACCUGUACUCAGAAAAACAAAGCUGGUGAUGAGACUUGAAGAAGUUGGUGUGCCUAGCACUGGUGGCCCCUGCUAUUUUAUUGAUUUUUAUGUGUGUUACAGCCUGUUUAAUAGAUCUUCCCGAGUCUCUGGCUUGUGCUACUGCACUGGCGUAGAGAGUGAGCUUGUCUGCUGUGCCUCCAGGAAUUCCUGAAAGUACUUGCAGGGCAAAAUGAGCCCUACAGCUCAAAAACACAGCUUUCCAUUCCUGCCCGGAUUGAGCCUCGCAACAGUUGCUGAUUUCGCUCUCAAUGCAUUUACACCCAGUGGUUUCCCUCAAGAAGAAAGCGAAACUGAAAGGAAAACAACUGAAAGAAAAACUAAUAAAAGCAGCACUAAUUCUUUUAUAGCCUGAAAUAGAAAGACUGUGACCUUGCAGAGUGCUUUGGUACCCUUUGCAGACCAUGCCAAGUAGUUGAAAGGCUUAGGUAGGGCAUGUGUCCAAAAGGGGCACGUGAAGGUGAUUGUAUCUCUUGUAGCUGUCUGGCUCUUGCAGACACAUCCCUGCUCUCUGGGACCCUUAACGUGUGUGGAAAAAGUUGCUUUGGCAGCCUUAAACCUUCUAACCAGCACGUGCUGUCUGUACCUCAGUGUCCCAGCGUGCAUCACUGUGGUUUUGAAAGCUGCUUAAGCAUUAUUUGUGGAGGGGUUGGGUUCCUUUACAUUCUAGAUUUCCAAAAAAAGCCCUCAUCAAGUGUGUAAUAGUGGUAGUAAUAGUAGUGGUAAAGGUAGUUUUUCCUUGAAAACAUAUUGUAUCAACUGUGCUAAGCAAGUCAAGCUCUGUUAGAAAAUGUUGGGUUGACUUGAGGAUGUUAUUGUCAACCACUCUAAGCAGUAUGUCUUUGGCAAAUAUCUAAUUUAGCACAGCUUUCAGUCUCAGUGCAUAUUGAAGUGCUUCUUUCUGGGUGUCAUUUUGGGACGUGUACGUAGGGACACCUGUGUAUGUCACUGAGUGUUGGCACAGGUGUGCCUACCCAUAGGGCUCUUGGUGGGUGUCAGCCUUUAAUAACUGUUACUAGAAGUGCCUUUUUCACAGAAAUGUAUAUCUCAAUUGCUACAGCUAUCAGGCUACUGUACUGGGAUGCUCAGCCGCCAGCAGAUUUGUAGCCAUGGAGGCAGCCAGAGAGCAGGUACAGUGGCUGAUGGAGGUCUCCUUGGUCUGUCACUGCCAUGCCACCAUUGUGGCUGCUCUGUGCAAGUGUCUUCAGCUGUGCUGUGUGAGCAGUGCAGGUUUCUGCCAGAAAUGGUGCUAGACCAUUCUAGGAAAAAUCAUUCCUGAAGCACUCUCUUGUCCUCAUUUUCUACUUUGUUUCUGCUUUAUUUUUUCAUGCUCUUGAUUUUCAUGCAGGGAAGGGCAAAGGAAGUUUGAUUAUUGCAAUAGCUGCAGUCAAAGUUUGUUGGUAGCACAGCUGCUGGCCUACAAAACUGCAGUUCUCCACUGCUGAAACCUCCAGAUGUGCUUAUACAAAUUGCUUUGCAUGUCUGCCUCUCAUCACUGUAGUGUAAAGUACCUAAAAAUUGAAAAUAAUGCUUAUUUGUGUUCUCUUCUUUCCUUCUGCCCCCUCAGAAAACAGUAGGGGGCAUCAACUAUGUGAAAGACUUAGGUGAUGCUCUGGAUUUUGGUACCCUGCUUUUCUCUGCAGUGGGGUCUGGUUGGCUUUCUCUGACUGUCCAGUGUUGUUUCAGGGGAGCAGCAGCACUCUUUGCAGCAGAGAUUGUGGAGUACCCAGUUAAGGAAUUUCUGUGGAGAAAAUAUCUGCUCUCCUUUCUGUUUUCCUUGAAUGAAAACAUAUUGAAGUGUUCACUUAAAUAUGGCUUUUAAACAUUAGUUACAUCAAAAUGAGAUGACUAGUAUUCUUACUUGCUUUGAAGUGUAUUUUCCUGCAUAAAUGAACCCUGAGCUCAGACAAACAAUCUUAUGCGGUGUCA